rnacentral:lncRNA from 12 species
AUGUGCGUAAAAAUGAGUGCAUUCGUAUUUCUCUCAUGCACUGCUAAACUUGUCAUUACGUUAACUUUGCACAGCUACAAACAGACUUUUAAUAUUUAUAAAAGUAAUCUUUGUAAUGCUAUAUUUUGCCUUCUAGAGAACUGGCCGCAAGUGUGUGUACUGUGUGUGUGUGGUAAUGCCUGCUUGACUAGAUGCACUGUUUACAAUGGCUGCUGAGUGUUAGAUAAAUAUGAGUAUAACAGAAUGCUUUUUGGUUUUGAUUUUUUAGAAACACGUCAAGCAUUCAGUAGAGCACAUGGAACAACAGGGUGAAAACACUUAACAAGGCCUUUCUUACACCUAAUGAGUGACUGUAUAGUUUUAUAUUCACAAGGCAAUAAGCUUCUGUGCUAAUCUGUAAUACAGGAAUGUGAAGAAAGAUGACUGUGUGCUUUAUCUGAUUUCUUUUUAGAAAUUGCUAUCGGUCUUCCAUUGUCUUUUCCUUUCUUUUUUUUCUCCCAAGAACCCAGUAAUGGUCAUUUGAAAUUGAGUUAUUGAGUUUGCACACUGUAUUUCCUCAUAGCCUGCGUCCAAAGCGAGAACUAUUGGCAAAAGCCAAUAUCCUGUCAUCAAAAACCAGUGGAAACAUAGAAUCAUCUUCCUAAUUAAAGGUCCCCAAUGUUGCGUAAUUAUCACAUUUCAAACCAAUUCUGCCAAUGAUGUAUAAUGUUCAUGCAUUAUUGAUAUCAAUAAAAGAUGUUUACUAUUACAAUAUACUAUGGAUGUUAUUUGUAUGUGUUUGUGUAUUUAAUAAAGCAGCUUUUGUCUCUCUAUAUAAAAUAGAAUGAUGAAAGACAUCAUAUUAAACAGUUCUUCUCUCAGGUGAUGUACUUCAUUAGCCUUAUGCUGUUCAUGGUUUCUAAACAACACAUAUUACUGAAUUCAUCAAUCAUUAAUAUAGAAUCAGCUGGUUAAAAAGGUUUGCGUAUAAUGGCUUCUGAUUCAAUACAUAUGUAGAAUUUGAUAAGUUCUAUUUGAUUUCAGAAAAGUUUUUUUGAGAAUUUAUUUUCUAAAACAAGUGGACAAGGCAGUUUGGACUCGUGCAUGCAUUUUUUAUAAUGUUUUGAAUGUUAUGCAUUUCUUUGAACGGUUGCCCUGGAAAUGUUUAAUUGCACUAGAGAACAAAUAAGUGACUCGGCAGGCAAAAGAACACCGUGUUGAAUUCAUAGAGUAUUGUCCGUCUUCAGCUCAGCAGACCCCCGCCGACUUCAAAGCAUCAGGAGCCCUGUGGAGUGAGGGAUCAGAUCAAUGUUCCCAACGUACAAAAACACAGAUUAUCCAUACAUAAAGAACUAGAUUC